GAUGAACGCUGGCGGCGUGCCUAAUACAUGCAAGUCGAGCGAACAGACGAGGAGCUUGCUCCUCUGACGUUAGCGGCGGACGGGUGAGUAACACGUGGAUAACCUACCUAUAAGACUGGGAUAACUUCGGGAAACCGGAGCUAAUACCGGAUAAUAUAUUGAACCGCAUGGUUCAAUAGUGAAAGACGGUUUUGCUGUCACUUAUAGAUGGAUCCGCGCCGCAUUAGCUAGUUGGUAAGGUAACGGCUUACCAAGGCAACGAUGCGUAGCCGACCUGAGAGGGUGAACGGCCACACUGGAACUGAGACACGGUCCAGACUCCUACGGGAGGCAGCAGUAGGGAAUCUUCCGCAAUGGGCGAAAGCCUGACGGAGCAACGCCGCGUGAGUGAUGAAGGUCUUCGGAUCGUAAAACUCUGUUAUUAGGGAAGAACAAAUGUGUAAGUAACUACGCACGUCUUGACGGUACCUAAUCAGAAAGCCACGGCUAACUACGUG
rnacentral:rRNA from 1 species